GUUAAAUGUAUAGUCUGCAGUGUCCUCAAGUUGAGAAACAUGACUGGCAGUCAUUCCUCCCACUCAGAGGGAUCUCCAAAUCUGUCUCACUUCUCACUGGAGCCCAAAGGCUGAAAACACAAUGGCAGAGAGAGAGAGAGAGAGAGAGAGAAGUACGUGCAUUAAAAGUUAAAAGAGGAAUGAAAGUCUGACGUUUUCCAAGUCUUAAAUACGACUUCGAGUGGUUUUUGUUUGUUACUGUUGACAAGUUAAGGCUAAAACCAAGAUUCAUUCAUUUUGUUUUUCACUAAAUUCAAUCAGCAUAUAUUCUGCACGUCAGUCUGUGUGCUUUGCCCUGAGGCGACCGGAUAAACACACCACGGUGCACCCAGAGGAGGAAGACUUGCGAGAUAAACAGCUGUAAUAAGUGUGGUAAAUUGCAAAAAGAGCACUUUGGUAAAUUGUCUGCAGGGUGGUCAGCAUUGCUGACGGGUGCCAAGAGCGCCCCCUCCUUGUGUCCACGGGAAGCCCCUCCUACCCAGAGGUAGAACCAAUUUCCUCCCCCGAACUCAGGCUGCUGGGAGGCUUGUGUGACCAACAGGCGGCUACCCUGAGCCCUGACUUCAGGAGGCUUCCCCGUUUCCGCUUCCGCAUCCGCGGUGCCCCCUUCGAAGCCAGCGGCCAUGUUGGAAACUCAGCGCCAUCACCGAAUGGUGAGGGAUGUAGGGAAAGAGAGGUCACGUGGGUAGGAGCCGAGUCACCCAACUGACACCAUGUCAGGGAAGCAUCGCUUGCAAGUCCUACCCGGUCCCCAAAGCACAGGAUGGCAGGCACGGAGAUGGUUGUGGUUUUGAGCCCCUCAGUUUUGGGGUGGCUUGUCCUAGAGCGAUAGACAGCUAAAGCAAUGGGUGAUGGUCACCAAUGCAAUAUGGACUGAAGAGGAAAUAUGAUUAAUCCUACCGGCAUCACCUGGGAACACCGGAAAGGGGCCUUGGUGUGCAUUGUGAAGGGGAAACACCUCACGAAAAGUCGCUAUUACCAACCUUCCAGCUCAGGCAGCUGAUUCCUGUGUCGCAACAGGAAUGUUGCGACUAAACAGGGCGAUGUUUAGUCCCUGCUAUGUGCUGUUCCCAGUGCUUUACUCUCUCAUUCAGGCCUCCCCACAACCCUCUGAGGCAGGUGUGCAACUAUUAUCACCUGCAUCUUGCCGUU
rnacentral:lncRNA from 1 species